CGAACGGGGACUUCUUUCACGGCGUUUUCUUCAUAUCGGCCGCUCUCUCCAUGUGCGUGCGUGCGUGUUGCAUGCAUUCGCCGGACCCCUCCUCUUUCUGCAUGGGCAGGCUCUUUCUGUCUCUCUCUCUCUCUCGGUUCUCCUCUCUGCGCCUUGUAUGCCUCUGCUGUUGCAAUGCUGUUUUGCGUUGUUGUUGUCUCAGCAUUGCCACAGGGAAGGGGACGAGGUGCGCGCAUGCGUGCUCAAGUGUGCGUGUGUGUGUGUGUGUGUGUGUGUGUGUGUGUGUCUGAAGGCGCACCACAGUGGAACUUCCACACCGCUGCUUGGCAUGUUUCUUCUUUUCCCCCGCUACACAACCCCACUCGCUGCGCCUCUUGAUCUCUCUUGUGCUUCGACCAGUAGCCACUCUUUGCAUGAUGGGAGUGGCCUUCCAUGCUCUACCUGGUAUAAGGGCGAGGCGGCUGCAUAUAGUAGGAGAGAACACGAGUGCGGAGGCUUCCCUCGGCCUGUGCAGAAAACAGGGAGGAAAAAGAUCAAGGGCACCUCGUUUUCGCACGCGGGAAGAUGCCAUUGCACCCACGUAAGGACACCUGUGCAUGGAGACUGGCACAGGGACGCAAAAGCCGAGUCGUGUGUGCAUACAAAUCGCGUUACUACCUCGGCAGAAGGGGAGAGGAUGCGGGGAGGGGGGCAUCGAGGCUAACUUGCUUCGUGGACCCUUCGCAUCACUUAUGCAGCAGCUUGGCUCCCUUUUUUAUCUCGUUGCUUCUCUCUGAGACUCCAUACCCUAUAUAAAGUCCACAGGCACACGGCGGCUCCGUUUCAGAUCCCUCUUUCUGCCUUGUGUGCGCGUGCGUUUGCCUUCGGUGUUGUGGCGUUCUUGUUCAGUGCCUUAUCUUGUCUGACUCUCUCUUUUUUCUUCUGUGUGUUUCCUGCCGCCAGCUCCGUCACCUUGCCCUCUUGCCUCUCUCUCUCUGCUGCAACGGUAAGAGAAGGCGAGAGGGGGAGAGACAGUAGAGAAGACUGCGGAGCGGCCAGGGGUGAUGUGUGCGUGUGCGUGCGGGUGGAUUGCUGCUCGCCGCAACUUCAACGCUGGCCUCUUCAUGCCGCCCUCCUUCUUCCCCUUCAUCCCCUCCUUUCAUUCCUCUCUCCUCCGUGUGCUGCCCGUCUCUCUUCUGCAUGCGCGCUUGUGUGUGUGUAUGCUCAUGCAGCGAUCACCUCUCUCUCUCUCCCACGCGAUCUCCCGAGAUGUCUUUCCCUGCUGCCGUGCGCCCCUUUUCCCAUGCACGAGACAGAAGAAAACCAAGGAAGAGUUCUUCCCUUCCGUUCCCCUCCCUCAGCUCCCUCCCCCACUCCGCCUCUUCAUUGGAUCCCCCUCUUUCUCCGUUUUACGUCUUGCGUAUUCUUCUUUGGUGUUGUGGUGGCCAGCUUAGGCCAGUAAAGGAAUUCGUGUACAUGUGCGUCUCUCUAUUCAUCUCUCUUUUUGUGUGCGUGCGUUGGGGGAUGGGGGAAAUGGGCAGCGAGUUGCGCGAAGGGGUGGGGGAGUCGUUAAAGACAGAGGUGCCUGCUACGCAGAUACGAUGAAGGCCCCAAGCAAGAUGACGGCAACGACGACGACCGAAAGAAACCCACAGUUGCUUGAACUUCUCCGUAACUGCUCUCUGCUGUGCUCAUCCCCACUUUUUAUUUGGUGUACGUUGACGCAGGCUUCGCGCUGUGCUGCAACGGCACAAGAAAACGUUGGAUAGAACAACUUCCUUCAUCCUUGCCUUUCCCACUGUAGUGAGCGAGUGUAGUUGUGGAGGUGAUGCCUGACAAUGUGUGCGGGGUGUGCGCCGCUCUUGUCCUCGCACGUUGACGCACACCUACACAUGGACACAGAAACGCAGACGCUGGAGGUUGGGGGGCGGAAACGGGAAACGGACCGAGAGAAGGGCAGCAGCACCGUCUCCUCUUUUUCUCAUCUGUUCGCUUCCUCUGUUGGCGCGUGCUUUCUCUCUCAUCCACAGAAGCGAAUUACCGCCGUUCUAUGCUUCGCUGCCACAUCUACCUGCCCCCCCCCUCCUUCCGUUUUGCCCAUCAGACACGCGUAAAACAACAACGACUUUGAGGUUUUUUUUUUUCUGUUGCUGCCUGACUGAUUUCUACUCGAUUUCGCUCAAGAGCGCCUCCCCUCCUCUCCAUCACACCCCUCUACAUUUUCGCUAGUUUCAUGAUCUUGCUUCGUCGUUUUCUUUUUCUUGUUCAAGCUUUUAUGUCAUCUACCAUCUCCUCCCUAACCUGUUUUUCAUCUCUUUGUGUCCGUGUAUGCGCGCGCGUGUGUGUUUCUUUUCCGGAUUUCAGCGACGCAGGUCGUUCCCAUAGCCCAGGCACAUUUUUCGCCUUCUUUUUCUUUCUUGUUGCCCCCUCGUCCUUUUUUGUCGUUGAUGUUAUUGUUGAUCUGAACUGUUCAUUCUGUUCCCUUGCCUUGCCUUGAUGGUCCCUACGCCCUUCGUUUGUCGUGAUUCGCUCUUGCUCCGCCGUUUCUGUUUCAUCAUUGCUCACCACCACCACCACCACCACUAGCGCUUCUACCUACCAUGCAUUGUGUAUUCCUCUUCAUUUGUACUGAUUUACCCGUCAUCCAUCUUCACUGUAUGGCGACUAACACUGCUGCUGCUGCCUCCGUCGUCUUUUGUAUGUGGCUGUUGGUAGCCUUGUAGGCGACCUAUUUCUCUUUUUUUUUUGGCGGCUCUCCCCCUCCCUCUUCCCCGUUUGAGCAUUGGCAUGUGCGUGUGUGCCUCGCCGUGUUCGUUACCUGUGGAUGUGUGUGUGCGUCUUCUCCAUCGGUGCUUUAUUCGCUCUUGUCUGUACUACCUUUCACCUCCUUCCCUUCGUUUUUCCUCUGUGCGGGCGGAUCUGUGUAGUGUUGGUCUCUUCUAUACCCCCUCUCUCUCUUUCUCUUGUUUUAGCUGAUUUCAUUAUUCUUAUUUUUCAUCGUCUUAUUGCUUUUUCUUCCCUCGCGACCUCCGUUCCGUCUAUACACGAUCACACAUAUACACACACACAAGGCCGACACAACAACCUACUUAUCUCCCACCCCAACACCAACUUUAUCACUUCUGCUCCCACACACACACGCCACACCAAAAGAACAAUAAAAAAUAAACCGAGAGAAUGUCUCCAUUCUUUAUCCUGUGCUUUUGCGUUGCUUUCGCUGACUCGACUCCACUCAUGACGUGCGGGGGUGGGGAGGGGCCACUUCAGCGUGGCAUCUCAGGACACAGGGGGGGCGCUCGCUCUCUCUCUCUGUGUGCGGAGGAGCGAAGCAGCCCCCCACCGCCCACCCUCUUCGCUAUCCCUGCCAAUGCGAGGCCACUUCUGGUGGUGGCAAGCUCAAACGCGCCGUCAUGAUGUGUCGGAGGCGCCAGAGCGAUGCGUCGCUGCUGACGCCGGCGGCCAGGUCCCGGAGUGGGGCGGUGUCGGUGCGACCUGCGACCGUGAACACGUCUGUGCCGCCCACAUCGAUGGGCAAAGCGCCAGCGGGAGUCGAGCGAAUCCCACCCAACCCUCACACCGCCCACUGCGGGGGGGCCGGGGUGUCGCCCCGCGAGGGGUGCACCGCAGGGGUGGCGGCCGGCAUAAUGGGCCGGCUGUGAGGCGGCCUGCGCAGCGGCGGGGGUAGUGCGUAGAGUGCGAGCGGCGGUUGCCGUGGGCAGAUGGCUGGGCCUGCGCAUUGCCGUAGCGCGUGUGUCUGGCGCUGCUUGGCACCACGUGCAUAGGGGAGGGGGGCCGUCAGAGGCCAGGCAGCGUGUGUUGGAGAGGUGCUUGACGCCUGUCGUAUGGCGGAAUAGCCGUGUUGGAAUGCGAGAAGAGAAAGCGGGUGUGCGUUUCACGAGUUUUUUUUUAUGUAUGCCGCUCUCUCGUUUCCUGUUGUCUGUGUGUUUUGCUUGUUUGUUUGUUUGUUGUUGUUGGCCCCUCUGUUUUACUCCUCCAUAUCUCGUUCUCGCUUUACCUUCUUUUUUUUUCCGUCCUGAUGUGGCUCGUGCUGUUAGGUCGGUACGUGCGAGUCCGUGUGCCUGUGUGCGAGGCGACUUCUCAGGCGAGCAAACACAAACACAUUGACAGACAGACACAUGCACAGACACACGCACAAACUUAUUCAGGUGCCCCCAUGGUUGACGAUCACGUGGAUCCUAUUCUUGGCGUUUACAGUUGCCGAUGCCGUCCUUUUACGCCUCCUUUUUUGUAUGCCUUCUCUUUCUCACCUCUUUUUUUUGUACAUCGUUAACAUACGCGCCUGUUUUGCUGUUUGGUUCUUGCGUGCGAGGCACCGAUAUUUGCUGGUGCGUGUGUACGCGUUUGUGGCUGUGUUUGAGCUGGCUGCGACGUCUUUCUUCUACUUCUUCAUCUGUCUCCAAGGUUAGGCCAUGCUUGCCAGGGAGCAGUAAUCGAGCGCUGUCUUAUUUUUUCUUCGUUUUUUUUUUGUAUUGGUCACGCUUCCUUUGCGUGACUUCGUGCCGGUGCGCUGUUGUCUUUCUCUCUCUCUCUCUCGACAACUCCACCCACUGAAGAAAGGAAUGAUCGGAGACGGUGACUAGACAACCAGCGAUACAAGAAAACAAAGAAGCAGCGUGCACAUAUACGGCGAUUCGUGGGAGAAAGGAGAUGGAGCAAUGAAGAGCGACAGGGUUAGUCAUUGCCAGACGGAGGUGCCGACCUCCAUCUUAUGCCACUACCUCCCUCUCACCUCUCUCCUUCCUUUCUUCCCUCGAUUUUCGUGCUCUCGUGCUUGUGAUUCGACAGGGUGGCGCUGGACGGGAGAGGGCCGGGGUGGUAGCGGUAGUUCAGAUGAGGAGGCAAAGCGAUGCCGGAACGCGAAGGGUGCGCCUGUUCCUAACACCCUCUCCCUCUCCCCUCAACAUCAAUGAAUUCGCCAGACAUGUCGAUCUUCUCCUAUGUGCGGGCGCCCGUUUCUCCUUCACUGCCCUCGUCUGUUUCGCUCCCCUUUCGUUCUCUGUCGUCCCCUUGACCCCUCACCUCCCUUCCCUCUCUCGCCAUCCGCUCACAACUGUCUCUCCCCUCUCCUCCCUAUCUCGCUUCCACUUCAUCUGGCACCGGUAUCUGCACACACACUGACGGCUCCUCUCCCUCCUCCCCACGCUCGUUUCGAGCCUCAACUGUCUAUUAUCUUCACCAG
rnacentral:misc_RNA from 1 species